AACGCAUCUUGCGCUCCCUGGUAUUCCGGGGAGCACGCCUGUUCGAGUGUCGUAAAAUUAUCAAGUCAGGAUGGCUUUUGUCUCCCUGGCCUUGGUUUAAUUGGGCUUUGCCGUGCGCUUCAUUGGGAACGGCUGGCCUUAAAAGCAUUAGCCUGGCUCUCAUGUGGCAUUGGUUCUACUUGGCGUGAUGAUUAUUGUGACCGCCGAGGACAUUCUCCGGGAUGGCCAAUUGCCCAUCUGAGUUGCUUCUAAUCUGGUUGUGCAGAUUCUGCCUCCACUUUCAAUUUUGGCCUCGAAUCAGGUGGGACUACCCGCUGAACUUAA
rnacentral:misc_RNA from 1 species